rnacentral:rRNA from 1 species
AUUGAACGCUGGCGGCAUGCUUUACACAUGCAAGUCGAACGGGGUGGUGGGGCAACCCGCCAUUCAGUGGCGAACGGGUGAGUAAUGCAUCGGAACGUGUCCCGUAGUGGGGGAUAACCCGGCGAAAGCCGGACUAAUACCGCAUAUGCUCUACGGAGGAAAGCGGGGGACCUGAAAGGGCCUCGCGCUAUGGGAGCGGCCGAUGUCCGAUUAGCUUGUUGGUGGGGUAAUGGCCACCAAGGCGACGAUCGGUAGCUAGUCUGAGAGGAUGAUCAGCCACACUGGGACUGAGACACGGCCCAGACUCCUACGGGAGGCAGCAGUGGGGAAUUUUGGACAAUGGGGGCAACCCCG